AAUUUAUUGCAUUUACUCUUAUGAAUUUAUAAAAAUAAAUGGAAAACAGAAAGAUGAAGGUGUUAACAUUUGGGAGAAUAAGACCAUGUUUCAUACACGUAAUAAAAUCAAGACAAGGAGUAAAUUGCUUCUUGGGUAUUUGGACUUGCCAAAUUAGGGCAUUAUUUGCCAUAUUCAUGCUGGAUCUUACCAAGAUUCUUCUAAUACAAAUGAGACAACAAUUUCAGAAUACCACCCUAAUAAAACCAGUUGAAAAUCUUAUCAGCCAAGUCUAUCAGUGUAAUUCUGUUAAAUGGUACCAUCCCAAAGACCAAGAAUAUGGAUGAGUCAUUUUCCGAAGUUGGUCAACUGGAACAGGAAAUUAAGCUCUACAAAGAUAUGCUGACUCCUUUCCACACUCUGGCCUUCAACUCUGGUAGUGAAAAUUAAAUUAAAAGGACCUCUUUGAAGUUGAACCCAUAUCCUUGGGAGUUGGCCUCACUCUCCAUUAUCACUCUCCAUUUCCCACUGACCACCAUCACCAUUUACCCGUUCAUUUUCUGAGGCACUUUGAUAUGGUCCACCAUGAUAAUGUACCACUUAAAUUACAGCAAUGGAAGGAGAACUAAUAGACCCUGCAUUAUGCAAACUCCCCAAACAACAACGCAGCCUCCCUUGUCCACCCACAAGACUCCUUGAGAAACCGGAGCUCAAGAUAAAAACCAACAUACUUCCUCUUCUGUCAGUUCUGAGAAGCUACCAGGCUCAGUGAGAGGCAAGGACUUUUCAUCUUUAGGGCACUCUGACCGCGUCCUGCUUGAGAGAGAUUGUUCCCGGCAUCUCAGCGCUAUGGGGAGCAGGUGCUUCCUGGUCCUGCUCUUGGGUCUCACUAUCUUAGUGGUUCUGCCAGGAUCAGAAGCCGAGAAUUCUGGAGCUUUCUGUCCUCAAUGCCCUAAAUAUGCCAAGUGCCACAACAGCACCCACUGCACCUGUGAACACGGCUUUUCGGCCAGGUCUGGCAGGACAUACUUUCAUGAGUUCUCUGAGAAGUGUGAAGAUAUUAAUGAAUGUGAGACCGGGCUGGCAAAGUGCAAGUAUGAAGCUCAUUGUAAAAAUAAAAUUGGAACUUACAUCUGUAGCUGUUGGGUAAAACAUCCUAUCCUCAACUGGCUGGCUGGUUUUAUAGAUUAUAAUUUUCCAGAUUGUUAUGAGGACGAUAGUCAAGGGACACAGGCAAAAGUGGAUAUUUGGGAAAAUCUGAGAAGAAAUGGAAGCAGAGAGGACAUUGCAAGACAGGCUACUCAACUAAUUCAGAGCGUGGAGUUGAAGAUCUGGAAUGACAGUUUUGCUUCUCCAGGAAAGGGUCGAAUUUCUGACUUAGAUGUAGUUUAUGAAACCAAGAGGUGCAAUGAAACAAGGGAGAACGCUUUUCUGGAAGCUGGAAAUAACACCAUGGAUAUCAACUGUGCCGAUGCUUUUAAAAGAACCCCAAGAGAGAGCACUGCAGUUGCCCUCAUCACGUUUGAAUCUCUUGGGGAUAUUCUGAAUGCAUCCUUUUUUAGUAAAAGAAAAGGGAUGCAGGAAGUAAAACUGAACUCUCAUGUUGUGAGUGGCAGCAUCGGUUUGAAGGAAAAAGUGUCCCUGUCUGAACCUGUGUUCCUGACUUUUCACCAUAAUCAGCCUGGUGACGAGAGAACAAAACAUAUCUGUGUCUACUGGGAGGGACUGGAGGGAGGCAGCUGGUCCACUGAGGGCUGCUCUCGUGUGUGCAGCAACGGCUCUUACACCAAAUGCAAGUGCUUCCAUCUGUCCAGCUUUGCCGUCCUCGUGGCUCUUGCCCCCAAGGAGGACCCUGUGCUGACUGUAAUCACCCAGGUGGGACUGGCCAUCUCUCUGCUGUGCCUCUUCCUGGCCAUCCUCACCUUCCUCCUGUGCCGGCCCAUCCAGAACACCAGCACCUCCCUCCACCUACAGUUCUCCCUCUGCCUCUUCCUGGCCCACCUCCUAUUCCUGACGGGCAUCAAUAGAACUGAGCCUGAGGUGCUGUGCUCCCUCAUCGCAGGGCUGCUGCACUUCCUCUACCUGGCUUGCUUCACCUGGAUGCUCCUGGAAGGGCUGCACCUCUUCCUCACCGUCAGGAACCUCAGGGUGGCCAACUACACCAGCAUGGGCAGAUUCAAGAAGAGGUUCAUGUACCCUGUAGGCUACGGGAUCCCAGCUGUGAUUAUUGCUGUGUCUGCAAUAGUUGGACCCCAGAAUUAUGGAACAUUUACUCACUGUUGGCUCAAGCCUGAUAAAGGAUUCAUCUGGAGCUUCACGGGGCCAGUGGCAGUCAUUAUCUUGAUCAACCUGGUGUUCUACUUCCAAAUUCUGUGGAUUUUGAGAAGCAAACUUUCCUCCCUCAAUAAAGAAGUUUCCACCAUUCAGGAUACCAGAGUCAUGACAUUUAAAGCCAUUGCUCAGCUAUUUAUCCUGGGCUGUUCUUGGGGCCUUGGUCUUUUUAUGGUUGAAGAAGUAGGGAAGACGAUUGGAUCAAUCUUUGCAUACUCAUUCACCAUCAUCAACACUCUUCAGGGAGCAUUGCUGUUUGUGGUACACUGUCUCCUUAAUCGCCAGGUAAGGCAACUUAUUUUGUCUGUCAUCAGCCUAGUCCCAAAGUCUAAUUGAAUGGUUGUUCACAUUCUCACUCUUCUCUGACCUUUUAUAAUUGUAUUUUGGGGUCUUCUUGGUUUGAAGAUGAGGGUUUAGGUGUUGCUGGGGUAUGCUAUAUCCUGUGGGUUUCAUCUGUUUGGCAUCAUAUCUCUGAAGAGCAUGGAUCAGUCAGGAUAAGAUGGACUAUGCUGCAAUAACAAAUAGCCCCUUGCCUCCCACACUCAGUCUUAGCAACUUACAACAAUAAAUGUUUAUUUCUUGCUUGUGCUACAUAAGUACAUCAUCUUUCCUCUGGGGUGCAGGCUGAAGGUGUGACCUCUUUAGAACAUUGAUGGUUUCAUGGCACAGGAAAAGGAGAUUGUGGGAAAGCACAGCUUAGCUCUCUUAAAGCUUCUACCUAGUAGUGAUGCACCUCUGUUCUGCUCUCGUUUAAUUGGCCAAAGCGAGUCACAUGGCCAUACCUCAGUUCACCAAGAAGGGGAUGAAUAAUCCUCCUGUAGUGAGGAGCACUACAGGAAGUGAUGCUGAAAUAUGUGGUAUAAUCUACCAUAAACUCAAAGAGACUUCAAGUCUAAUCCCAGUUCCUCCACUGAGUAUGUGGCUGUGUGACUCUGGGUAAACUUCCUAUCCUUUCUGAGCAUCAUCUGUAGUUUUCUCAUCUGCAAAUGUGGUGAUGCCUUCAUUACAGGGUUGAAUAUUUAAAUGAAUCAGUGCAAUCUCCUAGCAUAGUCCUUAGUACACAUUAAGAUCUCAGUGAGUGUCGUUAUUUCAAUUUUACUCUCCAUAGAAAAUUAGGACCAGUUCUCCUGUCAUUUUCCCUUUGCUGUUGAAUAAAACUACAAGCAGUUAAAACGCUAGUGGCAAAAUGCUAUCUUAACAUGUCAUUAAUUUCUCUUCAAUCUUUUAGUGCCUUAAUGCUUGAUACUUCUCACUCACAGAAGAAGUAAAAUCAGUUUUAGCAUGUCAAGGAGGUUAGAGGAAGGCAAUUCUUGGAAUCAUGGAGGAUGGGUGCGAAUGGAAUACAAAAAAUGGUUUAGUGGGAUGCGGAAAGGAGUAGAAACUGAAAGCACUGAGAUGUCUCGCUCUACUAC